UACGUAGGGGGCAAGCGUUGUCCGGAAUUACUGGGCGUAAAGGGCGUGUAGGUGGGAAAUUAAGUCAUGGGUGAAAACUGCAGGCUCAACCUGUAGACUGCCUAUGAAACUGAUUUUCUUGAGGACAGGAGAGGAAAGUGGAAUUCCUAGUGUAGCGGUGAAAUGCGUAGAUAUUAGGAGGAACACCAGUGGCGAAGGCGACUUUCUGGACUGGCCCUGACACUGAGGCGCGAAAGCUAGGGGAGCGAACGG
rnacentral:rRNA from 1 species